rnacentral:lncRNA from 1 species
CCAUGAAACAUGAGUCAAACUUAUUAUCUAUAGAUUCCUUACUCAUGUAUCAUUGUCCCAUAAAGAGUUUAUAAGGAUUGGAAGCAAGGAAAACGUUUUAGAAGCAAAACGGAAGAGAAAAGAAAAAUUCUGCACUUGGGUCGACCCAACCCAGAAUAGGGUCGACCCAACGUUGAGUCGACCCAAGAAAAAUCUUGAGUCGACCCAACGUCGGGACCCCACUGUUAAAAGGGGACCCGAGAGCAU